UACGUAGGAUGCGAGCGUUGUCCGGAAUUAUUGGGCGUAAAGCGAACGUAGGCGGUUUCUUAAGAUUGGUCUUAAAGACCGGGGCUCAACCUCGGGAAUGGAUCGAUAACUGGGAGACUGGAGGACGUCAGAGGAAAGUGGAAUUCCGAGUGUAGCGGUGAAAUGCGUAGAUAUUCGGAGGAACACCAGUGGCGAAGGCGGUUCUCUGGGCAUUACCUGACGCUGAGGAGCGAAAGUGUGGGGAGCGAACAGG
rnacentral:rRNA from 1 species